CAGGGACAGCAGUAAUGAGCCAUAUAAACUGGGGUCGCUGUAAUGGUCAAUGUUCCAUGGUAUGUCAGAAAGAAAGAUAUACGCAAAGACCUAGAAAUACCAACAAAUAAAGACAGCAAAUUCCUAAGAGGAAUUGAUUGGACUAAUUUAAUAGGGAUAAAGAAACUAUACGUGAUCGUAAGCAUUCAGGCCGCUCAUCAUUACACAGGAGCUCAAGAACGUAUCUGCGAUUUCAUCCCAGUUUUUUGCAAAACUUAUUAGUCAAUAAUGCUUCACAAGACAAGAUGAUUUAAAGGAUUGCGUAUGUCGAUGAUUAUGGGAACUAGCGGCGGAAGCAUCUGAUGAAGAUAUACAAAAACUCGUAUAAUGUUACGAUAAAUGUACAGUGGUAUAUAUACUAAAGUUACGAAUCAAAAAAUCUUUUUAAAAUGCAUUUUUUUGCUGUUAUUUCAAAGGAGGUAUUACUUUUUGGUACUCGUACAUAAUACCAUUUGCAAAAGUCAAGGUAACCUUGACGUUUUAUUGAAACAGCAAUUCUUUUCGUAAAGUUAUUGGAAAUGCCAUAAAAAUGAUGGAUACUCUAAGACUAUACAUUAUACACCCUGUAUAAAAAUUGAUGAUUUUUCACUAUGUCGUAAAGCUUUUUAGAGUUUGAACAACUUUUUGCUAUACAUAUAAUUAUAGACUCAACUUCAGACACUUCCGAGACAUUUGUAAAAAGCUGCAGGUACCACUGUAGUGUAUUUCUGCUUAUAAUUGUGCGUCUAUUUGACCGCAUACGUCAGUUUGGUUGCCGCUUAUCUUCUGUUUGUAACUGUGAGUCGGACGAAUAUAAAGGAUCCGUGCACAAUGUAUACAUCCAAGGAUGCAACAAAUGUCUAUUAUAUUUAUUUAUUAUUUAUUAUUACUUAGUCCGUGACUUUCGGCUCUGGACGAACUUUCAGUUUUACAUCUCGUAUCUAUUUCGCUUCUCAUAUAUCUACCUCCCCUCUUAUCCACUCUAUUAUAUUGCACUCUCUUAAUUAUUUUGUCUCUAAAACUAUGGCAACUUUUGGGCUUUUGCCUCCUUGCUGUGCUUCCGUAUUGUCGUUCCUCCUCGUCUUGUAUUGCUCUUCUCUUCUCCAUUAUUGUUUUUAUUUCUGUUAGUCCUUCUCCAGUCUCGUUUAGUAUUUUUUCUGUGUCUUUUGGUCCUCCCGUUAUUUCGCAUUCUUCUAUUACAUGUCUCAGGUCUUCUUCUUUCCUUUUACAUAGCCUGAAUCUUUUUUCUCCUUCUUCUUUCCAGUAUCCCCUUGCUUUGGUCUCGUUUCUACAUCUAAAUCUUGCUAAUAUUUUUCUGUCCUUCCACUUCAUCCUCCCUUUAAAUAUUUUGGUAACUCUUCUUUGGCAAUUUUUCUAUAAUGUAUGUUAUAUUUGAAUUCCCUUAUCCUUUUCCCCCUCUCUUCUGCUUCUCUCUUUCUUUUUUCUUCUAUAAUUUGGUCUACUGUCAUCUUUUCUUGCUAUUUUUUUGCUUUCAUCUGAGUUCCUCCAUUUCUUACCUCUUCUAGUCUCCUCUUGUUCUUUCUUUUUUUCGAAAACUACUAUCUUGGUCUUUUCGCUGUUGAGUUCUAAUUCGGUUUCCUUUAAAAAUUUUUUGAAUCACUCUCACAAAAUCGAAUAUAAUACCGCGUUUCGCGUAUUCGUUUCUCACUAAUUCUACGACACAACAACAUGGCCACGAUAAAUUCAACUCUGACAGCAUUUUCCACGCUCAUUUUUCCCUUAACAUACCUUGGUAACGCUCACAACACUCUUUGACAAGAUUAACAUAUUUUGACAACGUUUAUAAACAAUUACCCCUCACGCCACGUCCUUCCCUAACGUCACACCAUCUCACAUAUCCUUUAGCUGCUCUUCUCUAUCCGUCAUCAGCACAAUAUCGUCUGCAUAUGUCAAUUGACCAUACCUUUCUUUCUCCUACCACUAUGCCCCCAACUUGUCAUUUCCUUAAUUCUUCUCAAAUGUCUAUUAUAAUUCACUUAAAGAUGAAAAUCAUCAAUGUGUUGGGUUUGGGGUAGAUCUUUAAAUCUA